rnacentral:RNase_P_RNA from 1 species
GCGAUGAACCAGGUUGCCGCGGUAUAUUUAGUAUGCUGAGGAAAGUCCGGGCUCCGCAGGGCAUGAUGCCGGGUAAUUCCCGGGCAGGGGGAUCCCAAGGUCCUCCUGACAGAAAGCGCAACAGAAAAGAUACCGCUCAGGACCCUGGCGGAUCCGUCCGUUUGGGCCCUCAGUAAGGGUGAAAAGGCGGGGUAAGAGCCCACCGCGGAACUGGUAACGGUUCCGAAAAGGGUUGUCGGGAUUUCCCGAAUAACCUCUGGCAAGCCUCAUCAGGAGCAAAGUCAAGCAGCGGAAAACGGCCCGUUUUUUUCCGCGGGUAGACUGCAUGGAUACCGUAUGUAAAUACGGCGCCAGAUAGAUGGCAACCGGAAUUGCCGCCGAAAGGCGAAAAUUCACACAGAACCCGGCUUAUGGUUCAUCGCUUUU